rnacentral:rRNA from 1 species
UACGUAGGGGCCGAGCGUUGUCCGGAGUUACUGGGCGUAAAGCGCGCGCAGGCGGCGCGUCGCAGCCCGGCGUGAAAGCCCCCGGCUCAACUGGGGAAGGUCGUCGGGAACGGACGUGCUUGAGGACGGCAGGGGCAGGUGGAAUUCCCGGUGUAGUGGUGAAAUGCGUAGAGAUCGGGAGGAACACCCGUGGCGAAGGCGGCUCACUGGGCCGGUCCUGACGCUGAGACGCGAAGGCGUGGGGAGCGAACGGG